GGGGCCGUAGCUCAGCUGGGAGAGCGCCUGCCUUGCACGCAGGAGGUCAGCGGUUCGAUCCCGCUCGGCUCCACCA
rnacentral:tRNA from 8 species